CACAAUUUCUUGCCUGUCAGCACUAUCCAGACCUUCUUUUCACUUUGAGUCAAAGACUCAAAUACUUUGUGUUCUUCAUUUUACCUCUUCUACGCUCAAAGUUUUUUUAAGAUUUAUUAGUGCCUUGGGGUGACUCUGGGCAAUGAUACCAAGAAAGCCUUGAGGGGAGCCAGCCUGACAGAAGGAGCUGUACUGCACAUCCCAAACACCAGCGCACAGCUUUCCUCUAACUUUAUAGAUCACCAAGCCAAGGACCACGCUCUUACCAAGUGGGUGACAAAAUGACAGGGCACUCAACUUCCAUAGCUCUACCUGUCAGUGAGUGUCAUAAGAGGAGGAGAUGGGCGAUCUGCUGUCCUGAACUAUCAGGAGUGCCUCAUCUACCUGCUCAUCUCUCCAGGUAGCGAAGAGAAGAAGCAGGAGCUAUGUCCUGUUGUUCCCUGCCUCUUCCUAAAGCUGGGAGGAAGCAGCUGCAGUAUGGGUGGAUCUGCAGCCCUGUUGCCAACAUACCAGCUGCCAAUGCUGAGCCAGUGUGCUUGACAGUGACUGUGAUGGAUGUUGCUGAUGUACUCAGAGAGCACCUUUGGACUGAUUCUGAGUCAGUGCAGCUGAGCUUGGGCUACAGUGAAAUCUGUGUUCUCACAUACAUUAAAUGAAUAUAUAGCUCACAUUACUCCCCCCUCUGCCUACUUAAAAUGCCAGGAGCUUCUGCUGUCUCGCUGACAUGAAUCAAGAGUGAACACCAAAAUGUCAAUGAUUCAGGCUGUUGUAAAUUGUGAUCCAGCUGGAGCCCUAAAGUAUGCCUGAUAUCAUAUGUGAAUUAAUCUAAGUACAUAUACAAGGGAAAACAAACACAAAAAGAACGAGGCAGAUCCCUGCUACUUAGCAGAUUCCUACUGCAGACAUUUCAGUGGUACUCAUCACUUUGUUGGCUGAGUCUUGGCUUCACUUCUUUGGUUUAGAGAGAUAUCUACUGAAAUGGCAGUUAUGCAGUAUAUACUUGCAUUAACUAAUGCUUCUUCAGCAAUAUUGCUUUGGCUGAUACACUACUGUUCAUCUGACAUUUUCUAAGAGCUGGAGAUGUGAGUUUGAUCCAUCAAAUUUAACUCUUCAAUCACAUAAGAAACCUUAGUGAAAUCAAUGGGUAAAGAUGGAAUUUGAUUAAGCAUUCCAUUAAGUCUUCAUUAUUCCUGCGCAGUGUGUGAUGUUCAUUCAUAUUACUAAUUCAUCUUGCAUUUGCCCAAUUUGUACAGAAUAUAGUAGCAAAAAUAAAAAUACUGUGUACUUGGACCUGAUCCUCAUGGGUCUUUUCCAACGUAGGAUAUCCUACAAUUCCAUUAUUCAGUGAACAUUUACAUAAACUUACAGUUCAUCAAGCAGAUGCAUGAACAUUCAUGUGCACACCUGCUGUGUUUAUUCCACAAACAGUUUAAUAGGAUGACUAAAGGAAAGCCUCUGGAUGUAUGUUUGUAAGGGUUAUUUUUUCUUCUUCUAUGCUCCAGACUGGAGCUAUAGUCUUAAUCCAUGUGAAAGCAUAUCUGAACCUGAGUUUGGCAUUUAUUUGUAAUCUAGAAUCAGAUACUAUUUGUAUAAGUACAUUUGCUCAGUCUGAAGAGAAAGCUCCAGGGGAGACCUUUCAGUAUCUAAAGAAGGGGCUGUAAGAUAGAAGGGAACAGACUCUUUGGCAGGGUCUGUGGUGAUAGGACAAGGGGAAAUAGUUUCAAACUGAAAGAGGGGAGAAUUUAGACUGAAUAUAAGGAAGAAAUUUCACAGUAAGGGUAGUGAAGCACUGGUACGGGUUGCCCAGAGAGGUGGUGGGUGCCCCAUCCCUGGAGACACUAGAAGACAGGCUGGAUGGGGCUCUGAGCAACCAGAUGUAGCUGUAGGUGUCCCUGUUCACUGCAGUUGGAGUCAGACUGGGUGAUCGUUAAGUGUACCUUCCAGCUCAAAUGAAACUAUGAUUCUAUGAUAAAGCUAGAUUUUGAAUACUGGAGUAAUGACAUGGCUACUUACUCACCUGCUAUAUAUUCGGUUGUAUGGGAACUGCUGAAUCAUGGCCUGAACCUCUGAUUGAGCACCUGAGACGAGCCAUGAGUCAGCCCUGGGAGCACAGGUGAAGGCAAUUCUUCUGGAGAUCCCUCUUUUGGAGCUUUACAGCAAGCCAAGCAGAAGGUUGCUUGUCCAGGUAUGGAAACUGAUACUAGAAGCAUCAGAUUUUGAUGUCACAGUCUUGUACUCAUUACAAGCUGAAAUUCAUCACCUUCCAACCCAACUGCAUACCACAGUGUGAUCUGCCAAAAGAAAUGCCUAAUAGCUUGGAGUGUGCACUCAGGUGCUAUCUGAGCAGGAAUGCAAAUGAUGCGCUGAACAUCGAUGGAGAAUACAGGAAAAUAAAGAAGAAGGAAAUCAGACUAAGCCUGUGACUUUACCAUUGCAGAGAGGAGCACUAUGAUGCACAGAAGUACCCACAAGUGGCAUGGCUUCUCCAGACCUCCCAUUGCAUUUGGUAGUAAAACAGAUGCUCUAGCGUGUGUUCACGUGCAGCUACAUCCUGGCAUAACUGAAAAAGAUAGGUCUCUCGAUGCUAACGAAUGUUCACAAAUCCUUCCAUGAAUCCCGAGGCACCGCGUCUGCGAUGUGCCAGACGUGAGGCAGACAGCUCGUGCUGCGCACCGCUCCCUAAUAGCCGCUUUCUCUACGAGCACCUUCCCGACCGAAGCACUCCGGGUCGGGCUGCCCGCUCCCGAGCGGCUCCGGCAGCGCACCCACUCUCGGUGCUGCGGGAGCCUCCCGUCCGCAGAAGCCGACGGCG